AUACGUAGGGGGCGAGCGUUGUCCGGAAUGAUUGGGCGUAAAGGGCGCGUAGGCGGCUUUGCAAGUCAGUAGUGGAAGUCCAUUUUUCAAGGAUGGAAGUGCUACAGAAACUGCGGAGCUUGAGUGCAGGAGAGGUUAUCGGAAUUCCCGGUGUAGCGGUGAAAUGCGUAGGGUUCGGGAGGAACACCAGCGGCGAAGGCGGGUAACUGGACGGAAACUGACGCUGAGGGGCGAAAGAGUGGGGAGCAAACAAGCAUAGAUACCCUGGUAGUCCACACUGGAAACGAGGAAUGAUAGGUGUAGGAGGUAUCGACCACUUCUGUGCCGCAGUAAACACAGUAAGCAUUCCGCCUGGGGAGUACGGUCGCAAGAUUAAAACUCAAAGGAAUUGACGGGG
rnacentral:rRNA from 1 species